UACGGGAGGCAGCAGUGGGGGAUAUUGCGCAAUGGGGGCAACCCUGACGCAGCAACGCCGCGUGAAGGAUGAAGGUUUUCGGAUUGUAAACUUCUUUUAUCAGGGACGAACUUUGACGGUACCUGAUGAAUAAGCUCCGGCUAACUACGUGCCAGCAGCCGCGGUAAU
rnacentral:rRNA from 1 species